rnacentral:rRNA from 1 species
AGAGUUUGAUCAUGGCUCAGAGUGAACGCUGGCGGCAGGCCUAACACAUGCAAGUCGAACGGCAGCACAGCCGGGGCAACCCGGUGGGUGGCGAGUGGCGGACGGGUGAGGAAUACAUGGGAAUCUGCCCUGUCGUGGGGGAUAACGUAGGGAAACUUACGCUAAUACCGCAUACGACCGGAAGGUGAAAGCGGCGGACCGCAAGGCGUCGCGCGACUGGAUGAGCCCAUGUCGGAUUAGCUAGUUGGCGGGGUAAAGGCCCACCAAGGCGACGAUCCGUAGCUGGUCUGAGAGGAUGAUCAGCCACACUGGAACUGAGACACGGUCCAGACUCCUACGGGAGGCAGCAGUGGGGAAUAUUGGACAAUGGGCGCAAGCCUGAUCCAGCCAUGCCGCGUGAGUGAAGAAGGCCUUCGGGUUGUAAAGCUCUUUUGUCCGGAAAGAAAAGCCUUCGGUUAAUACCCGGGGGUGAUGACGGUACCGGAAGAAUAAGCACCGGCUAACUUCGUGCCAGCAGCCGCGGUAAUACGAAGGGUGCAAGCGUUACUCGGAAUUACUGGGCGUAAAGCGUGCGUAGGUGGUUCGUUAAGUCUGAUGUGAAAGCCCUGGGCUCAACCUGGGAAUGGCAUUGGAAACUGGCGACCUAGAGUGCGGUAGAGGGUAGUGGAAUUCCCGGUGUAGCAGUGAAAUGCGUAGAGAUCGGG